AAUCAACGCUGGCGGCGUGCCUCAGACAUGCAAGUCGAACGCGAAAGGCCCCUUCGGGGGCUGAGUAGAGUGGCGCACGGGUGAGUAACACGUAGGUAAUUUGCCUUCGGGUGGGGAAUAACAGCCGGAAACGGCUGCUAAUACCGCAUAAUGCAGCGGCUCGACAUCGAGACAGUUGUUAAAGCGGGGGAUCGCAAGACCUCGCGCCUGAAGAGAAGCCUGCGGCAGAUUAGCUAGUUGGUAGGGUAAUGGCCUACCAAGGCGACGAUCUGUAACCGGCCUGAGAGGGCGGUCGGUCACACUGACACUGACAUACGGGUCAGACUCCUACGGGAGGCAGCAGUCGGGAAUUUUGGGCAAUGGGCGAAAGCCUGACCCAGCAACGCCGCGUGAAGGA
rnacentral:rRNA from 1 species